rnacentral:rRNA from 1 species
GGAGGGUGCAAGCGUUGUUCGGAAUUAUUGGGCGUAAAGAGCGUGUAGGCGGUCCGGUAAGUCAGAUGUGAAAGCCCUGGGCUCAACCCAGGAAGUGCAUUUGAAACUACCAGACUUGAGUACGGGAGAGGAGGGGGGAAUUCCCGGUGUAGAGGUGAAAUUCAUAGAUAUCGGGAGGAAUACCAGUGGCGAAGGCGCCCCUCUGGACCGAUACUGACGCUGAGACGCGAAAGCGUGGGGAGCAAACAGGAUUAGAUACCCUGGUAGUCCACGCCGUAAACGAUGAGCACUAGGUGUAGCGGGUAUUGACCCCCUGCUGUGCCGUAGCUAACGCAUUAAGUGCUCCGCCUGGGGACUACGGUCGCAAGACUA